ACUUUUAAGGAAUCUGCGAAGGGCAGCCACUUGGAGCCUAAUUUUACAACCCUGAUUGCAAACUUUCCAAACACUCAUGACAAAAAAUGCACAAUAUGCAUCUUCAAAAGUGUUCCAAAAUUAUAAUAUUAAACAAUUUUUCAAAAACUGAUUCUCGUUCCCCGUUUAAAAAUUGAAUUCUCGAAAAUUGAAUCGUUUGAAAAUUCUCGUUCAAUUACCUUGUUUGAAAAACAAAUGCUUGGUUCCAUGUUAUUUAUGAAAAGCAUCAAAAUUGAAUGCUUGAAGAUGCAAAUUUUCACAAAAUUAUCUUCAGGAAUGGCAAAAUCUUUCCAAAUCAUCUGUGUCCAUAGAAGGCUCUUUGAAAAGAUAGCAUAAUCAAGCAGGGAGGCUUUGUAGAUUAUUUCCUCAUAGCUUGUUGCUCCUUAUAUUGUUUUUUGUUUCUAAGGAUUAUUUUGCAAAAGUGAUGAUUCCACACAUGCUAAAUUAAAAAAAAACUUCCAAACUCAUUUCUACUAGGAAAUUUCUUUCUCUGAUUCCAAAAUUUGAAACAUUUUAGGAUUCAACCCCUUUUUGAAUACUGUAAAACAUACACCCUGGUGGGGAUUGUAUCUGCCAAGAGGGCCUCCUUUUCGUCUGAAAAUUCUUGGACAAGAUAUACAUUUAUCUCUUUUCUUCUGGCGCAAGUAGGCCCAUCGAAAAUACCUUUCCACUGCAGACCAAAUUUGUCAUGAAAAUGAGAGUGUUGCCAACUUUAUAGAGUUGGAAAAAGUCUAUUGAAGCUCAAAUUUGAAAUUAGGCUAGCUUUCCAUAUCAAUUCAAGAAAUGUAUUAUCCUUAAAAUCAUGUUUAGGCAAAACGUUAGUUUCCUGGAUCUUAUUCAAGGGCAGGUAUCACUUUUCAGAAUUUUAUUCCUGGAUAGGACCAUAAAUUUUUUUUGACAGUCAUAUCUCAGUCAUUUUUCUUCAAGGUAAACUGUCAGAGGACAAAGACGACAGCGAAAUAGACGAACGUUUUUAAUAUAAUGCAAUCAAGUAUCGAUAGGAUCAACGGGGAUUUCUGUAGAAACAAAGAGAUUGUGGUAAGGUGUAGCGUACCUAAUGUUUAUCAAAUUUUUCAAUAAAAGUGUCUGGAGUUAAGUGCGAAUCAUCGUCUGAUCAGGGUGGGAUCUGCUUAUCUUCUAAGACAGUUCGUCUAAGGCUCGCCAAGCGAAUAUUUUCUUGAAAUGCAAAUAGACAGGACAAGUCCGCUCUGGAGAUCUCUCGGGCUGGCUACACGGUUUUCAGCCCACUGUCUAGUGCAUAUCAAAAGUGGAAAAUGAAUGAAUUACCUGUGAUUUGCAAACUUGUUAUAACAGACAGGUAGAGCACUAACUCGAUAGCCUCCAUUUAACAAACUCGUCAAAACGAUUCUCUCAGUUGUUCGCUUUUUCUGACUUCCUGGAAUAAUCAACUCAACUCAAACCAAGGAGGCAUAUCACGUGCUUAGCUUGCUUCAUUCCUGCUUUAAGAGCGGUUGGUGGUGCUACUGUAGAAGGAGGGGGCUAAGAGAACUAGGACACCCAUACCCUGUCGUAAAUGCCGAAAGUAACCCUUCCUGCUAUUUUUCUUUCAGAUUUUCACGAGGGCCUCUUGUUCGUUCAAAAGCACUACCCCCCGCACCCGGUCUAGAUUUUAUGGCAGUUUUCGACGAGAUCCCGGGAGUGCAUAAGCUGUUACCCGGGAGUGCAUAAGCUGUUACCCGGGAGUGCAUAAGCUGUUACCCGGGAGUGCAUAAGCUGUUACCCGGGAGUGCAUAAGCUGUUACCCGGGAGUGCAAGGGUGCAUUUGUGAUAAGUGUUUGCAUUUGAGGGUGCAUUAAAAUUCUCAGUGAUUCUGAGUGUGUGCAUAUUUUGUCCUGCACUUUUCCUGUUUACAUCAAUUUUACAUCUCAGGGAAUUUCAUGAUUUAAAAUUGAACUAUGCUUACUUACCUAUCACUACCAUUAGUGACCGUUUUUCAAAUUCCUAAAGAUAUGGUAAGUAAAGGGACAGCUUAAAAAGGUAAUGUUUAAAAAGGCCAAAAACAUGAUUUCACAAGCAGGGCCACGGAGAGGGGGGAGGGGGGAAAUUCCCUGAGGUCUUUGAACCUCAUAAAAAAAGGAAUUCCAUUUUAAGAAUGGAAUUUAUUCGUUUCAAGUUGAAUGAUAGUUAUCCAUUUAUAGAAUGGAAUUAAUAGUAAAAUGUUACAAUGAAACAAUUUAAAUAAAGUAAUAUUAAAACAAUUGCAAGAAAACGACUGCAAACAAUAUUCUGCAGCGUAUUCUGCAGUCAAUCUAAAGAAAGGGGUCACACAAAUUUUCUGCUCGCUUCGCUCGCAAGGAUGCCUUUCUUUUACAGUUUUGCCUCAGCCCCACUGUAAUUUUUUUACCGGCCCUAAUCUAAAGUGGAUCACGCAAUUUAGAAUGACACAUUAUUUUCCAAUCUCAGUUGUGGAAAAAUUUAAAAAGUAAUUUUGCCAUAUUUGAAAAACUUUCCAAUUUGAGGUACAUCCAAAAAAACGCCCAAACCAUGCCCAUCUUUCGGGUAUGCACCCACUAUUUUACAAAAAUCGCUCGGGAAUGCAGAUGCCAUGGAAUCCAUACUGGCCCCACACGAGCCCCUUUCAAUGCAGCAUCAUUCAUAGGGCACGUUAGGCACUGGUUUAGGGCCUCUAGCGUGAGAAGGGCCCUUAAAUUUCCGACAUGGACGGAUUUUUCCGAAAAUAUUAAUGACACAUCAUCUAAAUCUAAUAUUUUGACAAUAACCGCUUCGAAAUUUCUCAAUAUUUUAAGCGAGGAAUAAAGGUCCUGAAAGUACGGGACCCGACGAUUGGUUUACUUACAACCUACUGAAACACGUUAGAUUUACAUCAAGAGAAAUACUUUUUACAUUGGGUUGCCCCUAAAACUUAAACAAAAAACAACCCAAGACCCCUUGCAAGAGGCACACCCAGUGGUGUAGCUUGACCUCCCGGACUAGGGAAAGCAGGACCAUCAAUAUUAAAAUUUACCGACGAAGACAUAAAUGACAAAAAAAUUUGAAAAACAAUUUUACCGAUAAACUAAGGAUUUUGCUGACCAACUGAAGAUUUACCGACCAACUCAUGCCCCGCUAGCUACGCGGCGAGCGUGUUUUCUACUGUAAAUGUAACUUUCGACCUAUGGCAACUCUAUCUAAAUACUGGAAAUCAUCCACAGCAUACCACAGCAUACCUUUCCGCGCUAGCGCUUCCAUGUCAUUGCUUCCGCAAGAAAUUCUUGGAACCGAAACUGCGUCAUGCUGGUCAAAACGAGACUGCAUGUACAAGAGACUUCUUACUUAGGCCAGCAAAAUCUCUAUUCUGUUGCGAAACGAAGACGAUUUGAUCAGUGACGAGUGAGGUGCUGUCCGUAAAAAUGCCAAGCCAAUCACCCGAGGAAGCAAAACGACUUGCGUUUAGAACACAGUUGGUUCUAAGUCGAUACCGAACGCGAAAUAUGCUCUUAGCAGGAUCGCUAGUCGCAGCAGUUUCAGGAGUGUAUGCCUACACGAUCUUGCAAGUAAAGCAAGAAGAUUUCUCAGAGUAUGACAACUUACCACGACAGACAAAGUCUUGAAGGCAAAGUUGAAAGAUGCUGUUUUUGUAAAUGUUAAUCAUUUGGUGGAAACAAAAAUAUCUCUGGAAACUGAUGUGAACUAUGUGUGUGUAACUUUGUACAGCAGUUGUGGAGAAUGAAAUUUUGUUUGUGGAAAUUGUCAAAAUUAUAAACAAAACAGUGAAUGACAAUUGUUAGCUGCAGCAAUUAGACUUUCAUUAUUAAGUAUCAAUUUGAAAUAAA